CACUCCCCACUCUCUCCUCCACUCCCACACACUCUCCUCCUACCUCUCCCCACGAAAUUGCUACUCCUCCUAGCUUCAUGGCCGGCCAUGGCCAUGGAAAGCUCACCAAGAUGCAGCUCCUUCCUCCCUCAAGCUCAUCCUCACCAUGAGAGCCUCCCUCUCCUUCUUCUCCCCAAUCCUAGAUGGUUUUCUCUCCUCUUCUUCUUCCUCCCUUGCUAAGAUUGGAUCUUGAUGCAGGUGCAUGUUGGUCCAAGCAUGGAGAAGGUUGAGCUAUCCUCAGAUCUGAAGUUCUUGAGCAAAAUCCAAAUUGAGUGGUUCAAAGUUCUGCAGAUAGAUCAAGAUCUGGUCAGAUCUGACUUUGUCGAAUUAAAUCAGGAGCUUGGAAACGAAUUUUUGAAUGAAACCAGUUGGAUAAGAACCACCUUUACAAUACCUUUCAGAUGCAACUGACCUCAUAUUUUUAGGAUUUUUCUACGAUUUAUGGCUUACAGAUCUUGUUUUCUGUACAGUCAGAUUCAAAGAAAUUCCUAAAAUUGUAGGUUUAAUAUUUUUGGGUGAUUCCAAUUGGGUUAGUCUUGUAUUAGUACUGGCUAUCUAGGAAAAUUUUUAUUAGUCUCUGUUCAUACAUAUUUGUUGCUGUUAGUGAUGUUUAUGUGUAGCAUGCAUUGUUGAAGCAAAACUUUUCGGUUUAUUUAAAAACCCUUGACCAACUCUUUUUAGUAGAGGUGGGCAACCUUUGUUUUAUGCUUGCAAAACAAAACCUCUGCAACCUAACUUUAGCUCUUUUGUUUUGCUUAAGUUUUCAAAUGAUGUGGUAUAUGGUUUGCUUCCUAUUUGUGUAUAGUGUUAAGUGAGCAAAUUA